GCCUGGCUGGCUUAAUCCAUCUGAGGGUCAUGAGUUCAAGCCCUACCUUGGGCAUGGAGCCUACUUUAAAAAAAAUGAAAAGGGGAAUCAAGGAGAUUGGAAAGGGAUCUUUGAAGGAUGGAAGGGACUUAGGUCAGCACAGAUGGGCUGGCUAGUUGAGGAGGCUGCCUUAGGCAGGAGGGACACAAAAUGAGAACUGGAGGGAAUAGUCCAGUAACAGUAGCAGGUCAGUUUCGUUGAAGCAUAGGAUUCAAGGGAGAGAAAAGUAGGAGACCCAGUCUGGAAAAAUAAGAUGGGACCGUAGUCCUAAAUGCCACGCUGAACCCUUUGUGAUUUGUGGCUGGCAAGAACCACUGGCCCUUGAGCUGUGCAGGUGAUAAAUGUCAAAGUAAAUUUUCCUGUAACCUCUUACUUAAUGAGGUUCUGGAUCUCAGCUCUUCUAUCGUAAUGAUAGUUGGACAUGUGAUUGACUCAGAGCAGUGAGGCAGGGGCAACCGUAUUUUGCAUUCCAGCUGCUUACAGAAUGAGAAUUGGCCCUUGCUUCUCUGCCUGUUAAUCACUACAAUUUUUAUUCACAAGGCACCAGAUUUUCAGAGAGAACAGAUUAGCAAAGAGCGAAUCUGAAAGGAAGAAAUGUGCACCUUAAACCAGAGCUUUAAAAAAAAAAAAAAAGUUUUUUAGAACUUUCUGUGAGUUCCACAGAUAAAUGAGAUCACACAGUAUUUAUCUUUUUCUCUGACUUAUUUCACUUAGCAUAAUGCCCUCAAGGUCCAUCCAUGUUGUCACAAAUGACAGUAUUUCCUUCUCAUAUUGCUGAAUAAUGUUCUUUGCCAACGUUUUUGACUCUGACCUUCUAUACACAAUAUAUUGCACAUCUCAACCCAGAAUAUACACACACACGUACACACCUCCGAGAAGUUUCAUGAAGUAUUACUGUUACUUUAGGCACUGCUGGCUGAGACUUUCAACUUCAUGAUUUUUAUUUCUUUUGAAAUACCGGUCAGAACCUACUACAUUGAUUUUAUAACCCACUAUAGGGUUACAAAAUGCUUCAAAGGAUGUUGAAAAGAGGCUAGACUAUUCCCUGCUAUGUUUGCAGUUCUCAUUUAACUAGCCAUACAGACUGUGACCUUAAGUUUGCCAUGUUUACAUGUCCCAGAAAUCAACAGGACAGGUGAGACUCUCGGGAUGUGGUGGGGGCGGGGAUAGAAGGAUUGGCACAAGCCAUGUUUGUAUUCCUCUUCCCUUCUUAGCAAAUAUUUCCUGACACCAGCAUCUCUCAGCAGCUGUAAAUGUGUUCUUCUUUGUCUAGCUUGAGAUACAGUUUAAACUUCAGACAAGGCCGGACUACCCUGUAAACCAGAGACAACUUUUCAUUUGAGUGAACAGAAUCACAGACUACAAUGAAAGGGGGAAAAAAUGUAUCUUGACUGUGACAGUACAUAGAAGCUGUCUUACUCACCACUGUUGGAAUACCAUAGAGACAAUCUCCUGUGCUGCCUCCCACUGGCUGAACCCAAGAGGAAGCCUAAGGGCAAGUGAGCCCUGAUGACGUUGUCCUUCAAGGCCAGCCUCCGGAAAAUGAUGGAGGGUAGAUCUGGAAGGACAAAGGCACAAUAUCUAGCAGUGAGCAUUGUGAUAGGGGAAGUAUGAGGAGCUGAGUGGCCGCCUGGGAGAAUAAUGGACUCCAUCUCCGGAGAUAAGGGAAGGCUUCAGGGGUGGAGGAAGGAAGGAAGAUUGAAGGAACAACAGAUCAUUCGCUCUGAUGGAAGCCAGCUGCCAUGUUGCAAGCUGCCCUAAAGAGAGGUCCCCAUGGCAAGAAGCUGAGGGAGAUCUCGAGUCAACAGCCAGCUAGGAACUGGGGCUUCAAUCCAAUAACCCAAGAACAAUUGAGACCUACCAACAGCCACAGGAGUGGAGCUUGGAAGCAGAACGUUCUUCAGUUAAGCCUUCAGAUAAGACUGCAGUCCCUCUGGACGGUUUGACUAUAACUUCAUGAGAGACUUUGAGUCCAAACCACCCAACCGUGAUGGCCCCAAAUUUCUGACCCAUAGAAAUUGUGAGAUCUUUGUUGUAA